GUCUAGGACCCCUGGGUGGUCGCGCAGAUCCCGGACGAGCCCCCAAAUGAAAGACCCCCGAAGGGAGCCCCCCACUCAAGUCUCGGGAAAGACGCGCACCCAGUAGGACACAGGCACCG
rnacentral:pre_miRNA from 14 species